ensembl:lncRNA novel transcript
GGGAACAGUAGAAUCAACAGCAAUCAAGACUGGCAAGCCAACAUACUGGCCACCAUAAAACUGAAAAGAGAGCUUAUUGUACCUCACGCACAGCAGCAGGUUUAACAGAAAAGUAGACAUGUUUAUAGUCCCAGAUUUACAGCACACCUUAUAAACACCUUAUUACUUAGAAUCCAGUCUGCUGUCCCAGAAACUAAGAAUGUGACUUUGUUAAGCAGUAGGAUUUGUUGACAUAAAUGUCUUGACUAAGUUUGCCAUUGUGGUUAACCAAAACGCAUUUACUCCUGGGAAAGUAAACACAAGCAAACAAAAUGCCUCUUAUACUACAAUACGGUUGCAAAGUCCAAGAUCAAGGGACUGGAAUCUUAUGAGGGCCUUCUGCUAUGAGAGUCACAUGGCAGAAGGGCAAGAGAAGACAAGAGAGAAUGCAAGAGGAGGAAAAACUCAUCCUUUUAUGAUGGCACUAAUUCCACUCAUGAGGGUGUAGCCCUAAUGGCCUCAUCACCUCUUAAAGGACCUACUUCUUACUUCUGUUACACUGACAAAUUGCAACAUGAGUUUUGGAAAGGACAAACAUUCAAACCAUAGAAUUAUGCUCCUGCCCACCCCCACCUAAACUCAUGUCCUCACACACAAAAUACAUUCGUUGCUUCCCAGUAGUCCCAAAAGUCUUAACUCAUUCUAGCCCCAGCUCAGAAGUCUAAAGCCCAGAGUCUCAUCUAAAUCAAAUAUGGGUGAAGCCCAAGGCACAAUUCAUCUUGAGGGAAAUUCUCCUCCAGCUGUGAGUCUGUGAAAUCAAAACAAAUUAUGGGCUUCCAAGACACAAUGGUAGGACAGACAUAGACUAGACAUUCCCAUAUCAAAAGGGGUAAAUACGCAAGAAAAAAAGGGGUAACUGGUCCCAAGCAAGUCCAAACCCCAACAGGGAAAACAACAUUAAAUCUUAAAGCUGGAGACUAA